GAUUUCUGGCACGUAUUGUCCUGGCCCGCCACGGUUUCGUGUGUGAGUGCCGGGUUCGAUCUGCCAUCCUUCCAGAGAACUGUCCUACCCUUCACUGGGCCGGGGCAGCAAUCUGGAUCGUUUACUUUGAAAAAAUUAGAGUGUUUCAAGCAGGCGACUCGCUGUGAAUACAUUAGCAUGGAAUAAUAAUCUAGGACUUCGGUUCUAUUUUGUUGGUUUCUAUAACUGAAGUAAUGAUUGAUAGGGAUAGUUGGGGGUGCUAGUAUUGGCCGGCCAGAGGUGAAAUUCUUGGAUUCGGUCAAGACUAACUUAUGCGAAAGCAUU
rnacentral:rRNA from 1 species